UACGGAGGAUCCAAGCGUUAUCCGGAUUUAUUGGGUUUAAAGGGUGUGUAGGCGGAAAAAUAAGUCAGUGGUGAAAUCCUGUAGCUUAACUACAGAACUGCCGUUGAUACUGUUAUUCUUGAAUUCAGUUGAGGUAGGCGGAAUGUGUCAUGUAGCGGUGAAAUGCUUAGAUAUGACACAGAACACCGAUUGCGUAGGCAGCUUGCUAAACUGAGAUUGACGCUGAGGCACGAAAGCGUGGGGAUCAAACAGGAUUAGAUACCCUGGUAGUCCACGCUGUAAACGAUGAUUACUCGUUGUUGGCGAUACAUAGCCAGCGACUGAGCGAAAGCAUUAAGUAAUCCACCUGGGGAGUACGAUCGCAAGAUUGAA
rnacentral:rRNA from 1 species